GUUGUAACAUUUUCAGAAAUUUAGUUUAAAGCAGCUCCAGACAUGUGCUUGUGUCACAAAAUGGGAAAGUUUGUUUUUCUAUUUAAAAUGGAUUAAAGAACAUUUAACAAUUAUGCUUUGAAAAUGGUUCUGCCAGAAGAUAACUGGAAACAUAUAUAGUCAUUCUUUUAUGGAAAAUAAGUAAUAUUAAAAUUUUAUUCUUUUGAUGUCUUUGGUUUUUCAAAGAUUAAACAACAAGCAGCACCAGAAACACAUGUAAUCAAAACGUUGUGUGUAGAACUUUUUCAUCUGGUCACGAGAGCAAGUGCAGUUUGAAAAGUGAAAAAAAUUACAGUACAUUUGGAGAUCAAGAAAUAUCAAACGUUAGCUGUGCAUGAGCUUACGUUUGAGAAUCGAAUAGAAAUAAUGUUCGAGCUUUAACGUCAUCCUAACUUUAAACAUAUUGUGAAAGAAUAUGUAUUGUAUAUGAUAUAUGUAAUUUAAUGUACUUUUAUUAAAAUGCAAAUUUUUUUUAAUUUAUAGCGUAUUUCUAAA